rnacentral:rRNA from 2 species
GUGCUUGCAUCAUGAUUUACAUUUGAGUGAGUGGCGAACUGGUGAGUAACACGUGGGAAACCUGCCCAGAAGCGGGGGAUAACACCUGGAAACAGAUGCUAAUACCGCAUAACAACUUGGACCGCAUGGUCCGAGUUUGAAAGAUGGCUUCGGCUAUCACUUUUGGAUGGUCCCGCGGCGUAUUAGCUAGAUGGUGGGGUAACGGCUCACCAUGGCAAUGAUACGUAGCCGACCUGAGAGGGUAAUCGGCCACAUUGGGACUGAGACACGGCCCAAACUCCUACGGGAGGCAGCAGUAGGGAAUCUUCCACAAUGGACGAAAGUCUGAUGGAGCAACGCCGCGUGAGUGAAGAAGGGUUUCGGCUCGUAAAACUCUGUUGUUAAAGAAGAACAUAUCUGAGAGUAACUGUUCAGGUAUUGACGGUAUUUAACCAGAAAGCCACGGCUAACUACGUGCCAGCAGCCGCGGUAAUACGUAGGUGGCAAGCGUUGUCCGGAUUUAUUGGGCGUAAAGCGAGCGCAGGCGGUUUUUUAAGUCUGAUGUGAAAGCCUUCGGCUCAACCGAAGAAGUGCAUCGGAAACUGGGAAACUUGAGUGCAGAAGAGGACAGUGGAACUCCAUGUGUAGCGGUGAAAUGCGUAGAUAUAUGGAAGAACACCAGUGGCGAAGGCGGCUGUCUGGUCUGUAACUGACGCUGAGGCUCGAAAGUAUGGGUAGCAAACAGGAUUAGAUACCCUGGUAGUCCAUACCGUAAACGAUGAAUGCUAAGUGUUGGAGGGUUUCCGCCCUUCAGUGCUGCAGCUAACGCAUUAAGCAUUCCGCCUGGGGAGUACGGCCGCAAGGCUGAAACUCAAAGGAAUUGACGGGGGCCCGCACAAGCGGUGGAGCAUGUGGUUUAAUUCGAAGCUACGCGAAGAACCUUACCAGGUCUUGACAUACUAUGCAAAUCUAAGAGAUUAGACGUUCCCUUCGGGGACAUGGAUACAGGUGGUGCAUGGUUGUCGUCAGCUCGUGUCGUGAGAUGUUGGGUUAAGUCCCGCAACGAGCGCAACCCUUAUUAUCAGUUGCCAGCAUUAAGUUGGGCACUCUGGUGAGACUGCCGGUGACAAACCGGAGGAAGGUGGGGAUGACGUCAAAUCAUCAUGCCCCUUAUGACCUGGGCUACACACGUGCUACAAUGGAUGGUACAACGAGUUGCGAACUCGCGAGAGUAAGCUAAUCUCUUAAAGCCAUUCUCAGUUCGGAUUGUAGGCUGC